rnacentral:rRNA from 1 species
GAUGAACGCUGGCUACAGGCUUAACACAUGCAAGUCGAGCGGAAACGACGGGGAAGCUUGCUUCCCCGGGCGUCGACCGGCGCACGGGUGAGUAACGCGUAUCCAACCUGCCUCUGACUGAGGGAUAACCCGCCGAAAGUCUGCCUAAUACCUCAUGGCAUCGUCUGCGGGCAUCCAACGACGAUUAAAGAUUUCAUCGGUCAGAGAUGGGGAUGCGUCUGAUUAGCUUGUUGGCGGAGUAACGGCCCACCAAGGCGACGAUCAGUAGGGGUUCUGAGAGGAAGGUCCCCCACAUUGGAACUGAGACACAGACCAAACUCCUACGGGAGGCAGCAGUGAGGUAUAUUGGGCAAUGGGCGAGAGCCUGAACCAGCCAAGUAGCGUGCAGGAGGACGGCCCUAGGGGUUGUAAUCUGCUUUUAAGCGAGGAUAUAGUGAGGGACGUGUCCUUCAUUGCAGGUACCGCAUGAAUAAGCACCGGCUAAUUCCGUG